AUCAUAAACAGCAUUCAAAUGAUAUCAAUAUACAAUCUGAAACUAUAAAACUUGGUUUAUAUUAUAACAUUAACCAUACAUUCAUAUAAAGGUUCCAAUUUAGAAAAAUAUUUAAGAUGUACUUAAAUACAAACUGUCCCAGUUGCAUCAAUUUAUAAACAAUAUAACACCUAACCUUUUAACUUAAUCAAUGUUACUUAAAACAACUCUUGUAGGUUAUAUUAUGAAAUUUUCAGGUCAACACAUACAUGCAUAUGUAACAACCAAAUAAAUAAACUAAAAUGCUGUUAAACAAUUUGAUAUGUGGAAUCAAUGAAAAAUAGAAGCUUCUAGAAGCCUGAAUCUCUAACCAGGCAAAAAAAAAUGUCAUAUUGUUUUAUUUUGGUAUUUUCACUAAGUAUGAAUUCAUUUGGUUCUGUAUUACCUGCAACAUGUAACAUAAAUGUUUGUUUGCAAACGGACGAACAAGUUGAAUUGGUGCAAUAACUUAUAGCAUCCCGAAAUUAAAUCUAGUAAUCCACAUCAAAGUCAACAAAAAAAUAAUUUUACCUUCGUGGUACUUUAAAAAAAAAAUUACUUUUUGAUUCUCAGAAAUGUUUGUGUGUUCUACCUCAAUAAUUAUUUUG
rnacentral:lncRNA from 1 species